GACGAACGCUGGCGGCGUGCUUAACACAUGCAAGUCGAACGGCAAGGCCCUGCUUUUGUGGGGUGAUCGAGUGGCGAACGGGUGAGUAACACGUGAGUAACCUGCCCUUGACUUUGGGAUAACUUCAGGAAACUGGGGCUAAUACCGGAUAGGAGCUCCUGCUGCAUGGUGGGGGUUGGAAAGUUUCGGCGGUUGGGGAUGGAUUCGCGGCUUAUCAGCUUGUUGGUGGGGUAGUGGCUUACCAAGGCUUUGACGGGUAGCCGGCCUGAGAGGGUGACCGGCCACAUUGGGACUGAGAUACGGCCCAGACUCCUACGGGAGGCAGCAGGGGGGAAUAUUGCACAAUGGGCGGAAGCCUGAUGCAGCAACGCCGCGUGCGGGAUGACGGCCUUCUGGUUGUAAACCGCUUUCGCCUGUGACGAAGCGUGAGUGACGGUAAUGGGUAAAGAAGCACCGGCUAACUACGUG
rnacentral:rRNA from 1 species